AGCUCAGCUGACUUGAGCUCUAUGAAACCGAAGGUCACAGGUUCGAAUCCUGUC
rnacentral:tRNA from 2 species